GGAUCUGGUGUUGCCAUGAGCUGUGGUGUAGGUCGCAGCCAUGGCUCAGAUCUGAUGUGACUAUGGUGUAAGCCAGCAGCUGUAGCUCCAAGUGGAUCCCUAGGCUGGGAACUUCCAUAUGCCUUGGGUAUGGCCCUUAAAAAAAAAAAAAAAAAGCCAUUUGUAUGUGUGUGUAUCCAUUUUUCUAUUGGGCUAUUCAUCUUUUAAAAUUAAUUUUGUAGGCACUUUUUAUAUAUGUCACAAUUAACCCUUUGGAUACGAGCUGCAAAUGUGCACCCCCUCCACCCAUCCAGCGUCUUGUCUUUUGACUUGCUUUUAGGUUUACUUUUCUAAAGUAGGAUUUUUUUGUAUGUGUGUGGUCAAAUUUAUCUCCUUUUAUGGCUCUGGAUUUUGCUCAUAGUUAGAAAGGCUUUCCCUAAAAUUCUACAGCUUUAUCAAGAUAUCAUUUGCAUACCAUACAGUUCAUCAUUUAAAGCCUGCGAUUCAUGGGUUAACGAUCCGGCAUUGCCAUGACCUGUGGUGUAGGUUGCAGACGCGGCUCGGAUCCCGCGUUGCUGUGGCUCUGGCGUAGGCCGGUGGCUACAGCUCCGAUUAGACCCUUAGCCUGGGAACCUCCAUAUGCCGCGGGAGCGGCCCAAGAAAUAACAACAACAACAACAACAAAAAAAGACAAAAGACAAAAAAAAAAAAAAGAUUAUAAAAACUGGCCUUAGGACAUAGGAAGCUGCUGUGUCUGUGCAGAAGCACCCAGCAGAGAAGAUAUCUGGAUAUAUGAAGACAUAUGAGCUCCCUGGAACCAUGCAAUGGAAUACUAUAUAGCAAUCAAAAGGAACACAACUUCUCAUAUAUGUAACAGUAGUGGACAGAUCUCAGAUGCCUUGUGUUCAGUAAAAAGAGUCAGACACCGGAGGCUAUGCAGGUUGCCAAGGCCUGGGAGUAGGGAAGGAGUCAUUUGCAAAAGGGUACAAAGGAACUUUCUGGGUAUUGAAAAUGUUCUGCAUCCUGAUUGUGGUGAUAGAUGCCACAGCUGAGUGUUUGUCAAAACACUAGAACUUUAAAAACGGGGGAUGUUACUGUAUGUAAAUCUAAACAACUUUUUGUUUUUUAAAAAAAGUUCGGAGUUCCUAUCACGGUUUAGUGGAAAUGGAUCUGACUAGCAUCCAUGAGGAUGCAGGUUCAAUCCCUGGCCUCACUCAGUGGGUUAAAGAUCCAGCGUUGCCACGAGCUGUGCUCAGAUCCCACGUUGCUGUGACUGUGGUUGUGGCAUAGGCCGGCAGCUACACCUCCAGUUACAUCCCUAGCCUGGGAACUUCCAUAUGCUGUGGGCGUGGCCCUAAAAAAAAAAAAGUUCCAUUUCCUCAUUAAUGGUGAAGGGACAAACAGAAUGUGAUAUAUCCAUAUAAUUGACCAUUAUUCGAUCAUAAGAAAGAAUGAAAUCCUAUACAUGCUCCAAUGUGGGUGAACCUUGAAAUCACGAUGCAUAGUGAAAGAAGCCAGACUCAAAAGGUCACAAAGGCCACAGAGUUGGCAAAUCCAUAGGCAGAAAGCAGAUUUGUGGUUGCCAAAAAUCUAGGGGAGGAAAGAAUGGAGAGAGACUGCUUAACAAGUUUGUGUUUCAGUUGAUUAAAAAGUUCUUAGGAGUUCCCUGGUGGCCUAGUGGUAAAGGACUUUGCAUUGUCAACUACUGUGGCUCAGGUUUGGUCCCUGGCCCGGGGAACUACUGCAGGCCUCAGGCACGGCCAAAAAAAAAAAAAAAA
rnacentral:lncRNA from 1 species